GACGAACCGUGCGAACGUUGUUCGGAUUCACUGGGCUUAAAGGGCGCGUAGGCGGAUCUGCAAGUCGGGGGUGAAAUCCCACGGCCCAACCGUGGAAGAGCUUUCGAUACUGCAGAUCUGGAGGGAGGUAGGGGCGUGUGGAACUUCCGGUGGAGCGGUGAAAUGCGCAGAUAUCAGGAAGAACACCCGUGGCGAAGGCGGCUCUCUGGAACGCAACUGACGCUGAGACGCGAAAGCGUGGGGAGCAAACAGG
rnacentral:rRNA from 1 species